AUUGAACGCUGGCGGCAGGCCUAACACAUGCAAGUCGAGCGAGCGGCGGAUGGGUGAGUAAUGUCUGGGGCCUGCCCGAUAGUGGGGGAUAACUACUGGUACCGGUGGCUAAUACCGCAUACUAUCGGAUAACCCAUAUGGGCUUAGCUAGUAGGUGGGGUAAAGGCUCACCUAGGCGACGAGCCCUAGCUGGUCUGAGAGGAUGAUAAGCCAAAUGGGGACUGAGACACGGACCAGAGUCCUACGGAGGCAGCAGUGGGGAAUAUUGGACAAUGGGCGGAAGCAUGAUGCAACCAGGGAGCGUGUAUGAAGAAGGCGUUAGGGUUGUAAAGUACUUUCAGCGGGGAGGCGGUACCCGCAGAAGAAGCACCGGCUAACUCCGUGCCAGCAGCCGCGGUAAUAC
rnacentral:rRNA from 1 species